UGGAGGUGUGGGACGGAGGCUCAGUGGGUAGAAGUGUGGGACGGUGGCUCAGUGGGUGGAGGUGUGGGACGGAGGCCCGGUGAGUUCAGCGCUUGCCAGUGACUCCACCUCCAGUGCCCGGGACUUCAUGCUUGCAGUUAGAGAUCACUCAGCUUCCUGCACCUGCCUCCACACCUGCUGUCGCUGUUUGCUUCCCGCCACACUGAACUCGGAUCCCCCAGAACCAUAACCCAAGGUGCAUGGCAUUUUGCCUGUGCUUAUAUCUCUGAACAUGUGCAGUGUCCAUGGAGGCCAGAAGGAGGAGUUGGAGCCUCUGGAACUGGAGUUUCCUCUUUUCCUUUUUGU